UGUGUCAUAGAUGCUCCUGUAGUGGAGAGGCUGCAGCUGGAGCUGAUGGGGUCCAGUGUCGAAGAGGAAGAGGAGGCAGGGACAGAGGAAGAAGAGCUGCAGAGGUUCAGAGAGCUCAAACUCCAGAUGGGCCUCAUGGAGAAGACUGAGCUGGAGACAGCGGCGCGCAGAGACAAUCCCAAACCACAGACACUGCCCAAAAGGAAGAAGGUGACGACCGGCAUGAUUCCACAGGCUCCUCUGUGGAACAGGCCUGAGGAGAGGAGACAGGCCGCACUGAGGGAGCUGCGAGAGAAAGAGGCUAUUCUGGAGCAGAGGAGGAAAAGCCAAGAAGCGCUGCGCAAGUGGCGGACUCAGGCCAAGAACCCUCAGCAGUCUGGACACAGGCAGAAGAAGGCAGGACGCCAGAGACAAAAAGAGGAAGCAGAAACAGAUACAAGGCCUGCGGCGGAGGACGGCAGUGAUUUGGCUCAACGUCAGCCCUACAGCACUAUAGAGUAUGAAGACAGCAGCACCGUUCGAAGGCUGCGGCAGCAAAUUUAUGCCAUUGUCCAGAAAAUGGACGAGAGACGCAGGAAUCCCACUGGGUCAAGGGAGGAGCAGCUCGAGGCAGCAGAGGGAGAUGUCAAAGAGAUGAGGAGGUUACAGUCUCAGCUUCUCGACGUGAAAAGAGGAAGAGGGUUUGCACUGACACCAGCGCACGCCAGACAAGGAUACACAUAUAAAUGAGAGAAACCGUGUCCAUAUGGUUGAUUUUGGUAUUAAGAGAUAACCAGAUUGUGGAAUUGUAUGUUCCUUGUGCGAUUCUAUCAUGCGGACUAUACUGUGGACAUGGUGCUGGAAUUAAUCUCUCACCAGAGGCAAACAAACGAGUAUUUAUUUUUCAAAACAUGUUUUAUAAUUAGUGUUUUGAUCUGCUACAGUGGCCCAGAAUCUAACAUAAUUGCAGGUUUCAGAUGUGGAAAUGGAAAAAGGCCGCUCUUAAUUUGUCACUCGUGUGUAAAUAAUAAACAGCAAUUAGUUGUGUGCUACCAAAUCAGUCCCAUUGUUCAGACUUGAUUGGGCAAAAUGUCCAUUGUGUUGGAAAAGAGCACAUUAUGACUGAUUUAAACUGGAUUCAUCUUCCAAUUCAGGACAUUUAAAUUGCAGAAUUGAAGAAACAUUUUAGAUUGAGGGAAUAAGAGUGUGUGGGGGGGGGCGCUCUCUUUUCUAGCUUUGUGGACAACUAAUGUA
rnacentral:lncRNA from 1 species